CGACUUUGAAGAGUCUUCUUAAUUAUUAUCAAGGAUCGUCGUACGCCUCAACGUUUUCGCCAUUUUCGUUCCUGAGCGAACUCUCUGGGGAUCUGUUACAAAGCUUCCACAUCACAACCUGCAAGUGAGUGAAGAAUAUCUAACAGUUCCUGCAAAACAGAUCGUUAGAUAAAACCGUGCCCCAGGCGUGUCAAGAUUUCAACACUUGGGUCACUCAACCUUCCAAAUAAGAUUUC
rnacentral:lncRNA from 1 species